AGUCAGUUCUACUGGGCGCUAUAGGAAGGGCGCACGCACGAAACUUCCUCCGUCCCUUGCAUCCUCAGGGCCCGCCCGGCAGGACGACUGAGCAAGGCCUUGGAAGACCGGAGAGAUUGGAGUGAAAUCCUACAAACUCCCGUGAAUGCUGUGGUGAAAAGCAGGAGCUGCCAGGGCAAGAUGGAUCGCACCUGUAAUCCCAGCACUUCAGAAGGCUGGGCGGACCACUUGAGCCCAGGAGUUGGAGCCCAGCCUGAGCAGAAUGGUGAAACCGCUACGAAAAAAGAAAAAGAAAGGAAAGAGAAAGAAAAGAAAAGAAAAAAAAAGAGAAAAAACUAGCCGGGUGUGGUGGCGUGUGGUUGUCCUACUCGGGAGCCUGAGAUGGGAAGAUCGCGCCACUUCUCCAGACUGGACGGUACAGCGAGACUUGUCUUAGGGAGGGGGGGAAAAAAACAACAAAAAAAACAGAGGCUAAGAGGUAACUCCGAGGAUGACAGAAAACACCAGAGUUUUUAAGAGAUGUUAGAAGCCCUGGGAGCACUGAACAAACCAGAAAGCUCCCGACCCUUGAUCCCUGAGCUCCACCUAGCAAGUACAGCGGCAGCUAACCUGGGAGAACACCCCAACCAACAGAGACUGAAAUUCGCCUCCCAAGAGAGUAAGUGGAUAGUUCUAAGCUGUCCCCAAACAUGGCCUCACAAACGAAAACUAACCGUUGCGAACGGAAACAACUGACCGGACAGAACACAGCCACAAAACACGAGCCCGCACCCUGAAUUACAAAAACACUUACGGCUCACCUACUAUUCGCACCACAAAA
rnacentral:lncRNA from 1 species